rnacentral:piRNA from 1 species
UACUGCGGCUGAACGUCAUUGUUCA